GAGAAAAUUUUCAGAAGUUCUUGCUUUGCUACCUUGCUGAUGUCACCUGAGGAGAGAGCUUUUGAAGAGAAGAGCAAAAAGAGGGCUACUCACAACCUGGAUUGAUGUUGUCCAUUCCUCAAAAGUUUAAAUUAACUAUCCAUGUGGGAAUGGAACUCUGGCUGCCAUCUGGAAUUAUGAGGGAGAAGGGACAUGAGAAGGAAGUCCUUCAGAAC